GUCUUUUAAUUGGAGGCUGGAAUGAAUGGUUGGACAAGGGGGAAGCUGUCUCUUUUUACAAUUUUUGAAUUUUACUUUUAAGUGAAAAGGCUUAAAUAAUUUGGGGGGACGAUAAGACCCUAUAAAAUUUUACAAAAUUGGGAUUUUUUUUUGAAUUAAGGUUUAAAUUCUAUAAGUUCUUAUUUGUUUUGUUGGGGCGGCAAAGAUAAAA
rnacentral:rRNA from 1 species